AUUGAACGCUGGCGGCAGGCCUAACACAUGCAAGUCGAGCGGAUGAAGGGAGCUUGCUCCUGGAUUCAGCGGCGGACGGGUGAGUAAUGCCUAGGAAUCUGCCUGGUAGUGGGGGAUAACGUCCGGUAACGGGCGCUAAUACCGCAUACGUCCUGAGUGAGAAAGUGGGGGAUCUUCGGAGCUCGCGCUAUCAGAUGAGCCUAGGUCGGAUUAGCUAGUUGGUGGGGUAAAGGCCUACCAAGGCGACGAUCCGUAACUGGUCUGAGAGGAUGAUCAGUCACACUGGAACUGAGACACGGUCCAGACUCCUACGGGAGGCAGCAGUGGGGAAUAUUGGACAAUGGGCGAAAGCCUGAUCCAGCCAUGCCGCGUGUGUGAAGAAGGUCUUCGGAUCGUAAAGCACUUUAAGUUGGGAGGAAGGGCAGUAAGUUAAUACCUUGCUGUUUUGACGUUACCAACAGAAUAAGCACCGGCUAACUUCGUG
rnacentral:rRNA from 1 species